rfam:Waddlia chondrophila WST 86-1044, complete genome.
GGAAGAGUGGCAGAGUGGCCGAAUGCGUCUGUCUUGAAAACAGAAGACCUGCAAGGGUCCGGGGGUUCGAAUCCCUCCUCUUCCG